UAUAAUGUUUAGUUUGACAAGCUGAAGUCAACAAUUAUCAUUUCCUGAAAGUUUAACUCACUCACAUUUACUAAAGAACAAGAAAUAGACACACUAUUGUAGGAAGGGUGCUGGCAGGAACUGAGAUUUUUCUUCACAAUGACAGGAACUGAGAUCAGCAGAUCAUUUAACAAGAGCUAAAACUGACAGCUAAAAACCACUGAUGCGUGGACAGAGAACUGCACAACAACGUGUUUCUGGUAUAUGUGAGUUUCUACAAAGAGAAAUCAUGAACUUCAGACUCUCAUCACUGAUCCUGCUGUUACACAUUCAAGGUAUGAAAGGGGAGGACUGGUGAUGGUGAGGUGCGUUUACUCAAACAUCAACAUCAAAACUGGGUUCUGGUUCAGUCAGAAACAGAGAACAAACUGGAGAAACAAAGAUGAACCUGAAGAUUUGACUUUAGAUUCAGAUUACUCAGGACGAGUGAAGCAGUGGAUCAAUGAAGAUUACUCAGAGCUCAUAAUAUAUGACCCGAGAGAGAGAGACAGUGGAGAAUAUCAGCUCAUGAUCAUUAUGAAGGAUGGAGUUAAACAUCUCAGCUCAGUCACAGUCAAUCUAACAGUCUCAGUUUUACAGGUGAAGAUGAAUCCUGAAUCUACAGGACAGCGAGUAAAACUGAGCUGUGAUUCCUCCUGCACUUUAACAUCUGCAUUUUUUUUACCACUGGUCCAAGAAUGGAGAAGAUUUAACAUAUAACCAAAGCAUAUUUGUGUCAUCCAGUGGAAACACUGACAGUUAUUCCUGCAUUGAGUCUGUUUCAGUUCCCUCUUCAUCUGUGUGUCUUUCUAACAGUAGCUGUUGGGGUGUGACUUACAUCUCAUCAGAAGUUUGUGCUUUAGUGGGAUCAACAGUAGAUAUUCACUCUUCAUACUCACAUCCCACUGGAUAUACAGUAGAGAAAACAUCCUGGCGUUACGGUUAUCCUUGGGGACUCUACGGAGAUCUACGUGAGGAUCCUCGGUUUUCUGGUCGUGUGGAGUAUCUGGGAAACACACUGAGAAUCAAAGACGUCAACACGAGAGACAAUGGAAUAUAUCGAUUCAGGUUCAUCACUAACACAUCAAAAGAAGUUUCUAGUUAUACUGGAGUCUUUCUUAUUGUUACAGGUACACAGGUGAGAAGCAGCCCAAACCCUGUGAUAGAUGGAGAAAAAGUGAUAUUAAGCUGUUCAACUAAAUGCACACUGGAUAACAAACAUACUUACAUCUGGUAUAAGAAUGGACAACAGGUAACAGAUGGAUUGAGAUUAUUAAACAAGCUGUACCUGGACUCAAUCAACAGUGAGGAGCAACACGAGUAUUCCUGUACUGUAAGAGAUCCAAUGGACAAAACAAAUGCUUAAAUACAUAAAACUGUAGGAUACUGAUUAAAACAAGGCUUGGCUUUCUGAAGGUUUGCUACUGUAAAUGUUUUAAUAAAGCUUUUUGGUACCUGCCUUUCUGAGAUAUUUUUCCACAUAUUAUAUUUGUAUUAAGACAUUCAUAAUCGUCAGAUAAAUGUUAUCUUUUGAAUAUAUUUCUCUGUUUUCUGUUUUGACUGCAGUAUGUGGUAACACUUUCUAUGAAGUCUGUGUUUAUAAUGCAUUAUUGCAGGUAUAUUCCCUUAUAAUAAACAUUAUUAUACUGUAUGUUGUAUUGUCUAAUAAAUAAUCAUUACAACAGUUACAAUA